rnacentral:tRNA from 1 species
GGUGAUAAAGUUUCACUUACAAUGAAAAAUUCCUUUUUGGCACUUUUAUAGUGAUUUUAGCUGAAA